rnacentral:rRNA from 1 species
AAUGUGCGCUAAGUGGAAAACGAUGUGGAGUUGCGAAAACAACCAGGAUGUUGGCUUAGAAGCAGCCACUCAUUAAAAGAGUGCGUAAUAGCUCACUGGUCGAGUGACUCUGCGCGGAAAAUAUAACGGGGCUAAGCACACAACCGAAGCUUGGGAUUGUCAAAAGACAGUGGUAGGGGAGCGUCGAAUACGGGGUGAAGUCGCAUCGGAAGGAGCGGUGGACUGUAUUCGAGUGAGAAUGCCGGAAUGAGUAGCGAGAAUUAUGUGGGAAUCAUAAUGGCCGAAAAUCUAAGGUUUCUUGGGGAAGGUUCGUCCGCCCAAGGUAAGUCGGGAGCUAAGGCGAGGCCGAGAGGCGUAGUCGAUGCACAUACGGUAGAAAUUCCGUAACCACCGAAACUUAAGUCAGAGGGACACUUCAGAAUAGCGGAACCGCGGCGUUGGUAGACCGCGGCGAAAGGGACUGAAAUAUAGUAGGGAAGUCCGCGAUGCUCGGAGGCGAGAAAAGCUCUAAGGUAUGCUAAGGUGCCCGUACCGCAAACCGACACAGGUAGAUGAGGAGAGAAUCCUAAGGCCAACGGGAGAAGGGUUGUCAAGGAACUCGGCAAGUUGACCCCGUAACUUCGGAAGAAGGGGAGCCUCGAAAGAGGCCGCAGUGAAUAGGCCCAAGCAACUGUUUACCAAAAACACAGGUCUAUGCUAAAUCGAAAGAUGACGUAUAUGGGCUGACGCCUGCCCGGUGCCGGAAGGUUAAGAGGAGAUGUCAGGCAACGAAGCAUCGAAUUGAAGCCCCGGUAAACGGCGGCCGUAACUAUAACGGUCCUAAGGUAGCGAAAUUCCUUGUCAGGUAAGUUCUGACCCGCACGAAUGGCGUAAUGAUCUGGGCACUGUCUCGACAGCCCACCCGGCGAAAUUGUAGUACUGGUGAAGAUGCCAGUUACCCGCAACUAGACGGAAAGACCCCAUGGAGCUUUACUGCAGCUUAAUACUGGAAAUCGGUAAUUCAUGUACAGGAUAGGUGGGAGACGGAGAAGCAUGGUCGUCAGGUCAUGUGGAGUCGCCCUUGGGAUACCACUCUUGGAUUGCUGGUUUUCUAACCUGCGGCCGUGAAUCCGGUCGGGGGACACUGUUAGGCGGGCAGUUUGACUGGGGCGGUCGCCUCCAAAAAGGUAACGGAGGCGCUCAAAGGUUCGUUCAGCACGGACGGAAAUCGUGCAUUGAGUGUAAACGCAUAAACGAGCCUAACUGCGAGACCGACGGGUCGAGCAGUAACGAAAGUUGGAGUUAGUGAUCCGGUGGUAUGUGAGUGGAAAUGCCAUCGCUCAACGGAUAAAAGCUACCCUGGG